CAGAUGGAUCAAGCAUCUCUUUCUAUGCUACAUGUGCAUCAUCUUCAAGCUAAGAAAUUGUGAUUACACAGCAAGGAUAAGGGAGAUUACUUUUGAGUUUCUAUCAGAAUUACUUUUGUCCUAGAGUAGUUAAAAGAAAACCAACAGUUCCUGUCUUACUAUGUUUGAAUUUGAACUAAAGUUUGGAUCUCAUACUAUUGUAAAAGUUUACUCUGCUUCCACACACUGAGAUGACCUAUCUUGCCUGUUUGAACUUUACACCUCCCCAGUGCACUUGCAAAUUCCUAACCAUAGUGUCAGUAGUCAAAAAAAAAAAAAAAGAACCCAAUUUAAAAAAAAAAAUCACCAAAGUGUAUUUAGAGAUUUUAAAGUUUUGGUAAGGAAAAGUGCUAGAUGCCCUAUCCCUGUAAACAUUCGGUCAGACUGGACAGGGCUCCGAGCAAUCUGAUUUUGGUGGAGGUGCCCAUUGCAGAGGAGUUAGACUGGAUGACAUUUAAAAGACUCUUCCAGCCCAAACCAUUCUAUGAUUCUGGAAAUUGCUUUGUUAACAGGACUGGACCCAAAUAUCCCAAAUUCUCAACAGCACCAUGAGUAUUCUCUUGCUAUGUAUGCUUAGGUGUGGGGGAGGAUGGUCCAAUAGGCAGGUACAGCUACUCCAGGACUGGCUAGAAACACUAUGAAAGCAUGUGAGAUAAUUUGGUUUUGUAGAAGGAUUAGAGGAAUAUUUACAAGUCCUAAAGCGUGAUACCCAUGAAGCUUUUAGAGAAGAAGCAUUCCUAUGCCUUUCACAUAUGCCAUUUUCUUUCUCUGUGUUUAUCCAAUUUAGAUAUAUUUUUCAGGAGACUCCAUCAUAGGGCUGAUUCUGAACCGUAUUGCAACUCUAUUGUACUUUAUUUUCUUUUUCUCAUAUACUGCAAACGGAAUUAAGGUGUAGGGAGAAGUACAUAGUAAAUAUGAAGUGGUACUGCAACUAGUAAUUUGCUAAUCCACAAGUCUAAACAUGUACAGAGAAACAGCCCAGAUAAACUAAUUGUAAGAGUAGUAAAUAAUUAAGCACAACUGUUUUUGUAAGCUUUCCCAUGGCUUGCCUUUAUAAUGCCAAUUUCUAUGUGUUAAUAAAUUAGUAAUUCUUCAUCUUUAUAAAAAUUAAAAAUCAGUUUGUUUAUUGACCGGAAAAAAAGUUUAGAUUCUUCCUCCAAAAUGAAAAGUCACUUUCUGGGUAAGUGGGAAACUAUGCACUUUAUGAAUUUGCAGUCUUUACUAAGGUCUUCUCUCCUAAAAAGUGCAUUUAGUUUCUGGGCACGAAAAUGUGUAAAUAGAAAAAAAUAAUACAUAUAUAUAUAUAUAAAAUAGAUAAAA